rnacentral:rRNA from 1 species
UGCGUAGGUGGCGCGUUAAGUCCGUUGUGAAAUCCCUUGGCUCAACCAAGGAACUGCUUCGGAUACUGGCGUGCUUGAGGCUAGUAGGGGUCACUGGAACUGACGGUGGAGCGGUGAAAUGCGUAGAUAUCGUCAGGAACGCCGAUGGUGAAGACAGGUGACUGGGCUAGUUCUGACACUGAGGACAAAGCUGGGGAGCGGAA